UCCCACUUACAGGAAGGUAUCCAUAAAAGUUAAAAAUCUGUGAUCAUUUCAAAGCUAAUAAGUAAUGGGCCAUAUAAUCACUCAAAAAACCUGUUUUAUUGUCCACGUGAUCAGAAAAGGAGAAGAUGUUGUUUCAAACUAGAUGUUAGUGCAAGUCAUAAUGGAUAAAGAAUAACCAUGUUGAAAAAAGCAAACAGAAAUUCACUAAGAUCCUUAACAGCAAAUGGAACUAACCUUUCCAGGCUUUAUUGCAGUC
rnacentral:misc_RNA from 1 species